rnacentral:rRNA from 1 species
AAAGGGUGCGUAGGCGGCCAAUUAAGUCAGGGGUGAAAGACGGUAGCUUAACUAUCGCAGUGCCUUUGAUACUGAUUGGCUUGAAUACACUAGAGGUAGGCGGAAUGUGACAAGUAGCGGUGAAAUGCAUAGAUAUGUCACAGAACACCAAUUGCGAAGGCAGCUUACUAUGGUGUGAUUGACGCUGAGGCACGAAAGCGUGGGGAUCAAACAGGAUUAGAUACCCGAGU